rnacentral:rRNA from 1 species
UACAGAGGUCUCAAGCGUUGUUCGGAUUCAUUGGGCGUAAAGGGUGCGUAGGCGGCGCGGUAAGUCGGGUGUGAAAUCUCGGAGCUUAACUCCGAAACUGCAUUCGAUACUGCCGUGCUUGAGGACUGGAGAGGAGACUGGAAUUUACGGUGUAGCGGUGAAAUGCGUAGAUAUCGAGAGGAACACCUGCGGCGAAGGCGGGUUGCUGGGCUGACACUGACGCUGAAGCGCGAAAGCGUGGGGAGCAAACGGG